rnacentral:rRNA from 1 species
GGCCGCGGGAAUUCGAUUCAGGCCUAACACAUGCAAGUCGAGCGGUAGAGAGAAGCUUGCUUCUCUUGAGAGCGGCGGACGGGUGAGUAAUGCCUAGGAAUCUGCCUGGUAGUGGGGGAUAACGUUCGGAAACGGACGCUAAUACCGCAUACGUCCUACGGGAGAAAGCAGGGGACCUUCGGGCCUUGCGCUAUCAGAUGAGCCUAGGUCGGAUUAGCUAGUUGGUGAGGUAAUGGCUCACCAAGGCGACGAUCCGUAACUGGUCUGAGAGGAUGAUCAGUCACACUGGAACUGAGACACGGUCCAGACUCCUACGGGAGGCAGCAGUGGGGAAUAUUGGACAAUGGGCGAAAGCCUGAUCCAGCAGUGCCGCGUGUGUGAAGAAGGUCUUCGGAUUGUAAAUAGAUGUAAGUUGGGAGGAAGGGCAGUUACCUAAUACGUGAUUUUUGACGUACCGACAGAUAG